AUCACCUCUUGGGAUUUUGGCUAAGAUCAAGUGUAGUAUCUGUUCUUAUUAGUUCUCUAAGUUUUGAAAAAUGAAUAAAUAAAUGAAUACUGGCAGAAUCAAGAACUAUUAUUUUAGAAGUAUGCUUUGCUAAUCAUCUUUAUCCUUCUGGCAACCCCUU
rnacentral:snRNA from 1 species